rnacentral:rRNA from 1 species
CCUACGGGAGGCAGCAGUGAGGAAUAUUGGUCAAUGGACGAGAGUCUGAACCAGCCACGUAGCGUGAAGGAUGACUGCCCUAUGGGUUGUAAACUUCUUUUAUAUGGGAAUAAAACAGGGUAUGCAUACCCUCUCGUAUGUACCAUAUGAAUAAGGAUCGGCUAACUCCGUGCCAGCAGCCGCGGUAAUACGGAGGAUCCGAGCGUUAUCCGGAUUUAUUGGGUUUAAAGGGAGCGUAGGUGGAUUGUUAAGUCAGUUGUGAAAGUUUGCGGCUCAACCGUAAAAUUGCAGUGGAUACUGGCAGUCUAGAGUACAGUAGAGGUGGGCGGAAUUCGUGGUGUAGCGGUGAAAUGCUUAGAUAUCACGAAGAACUCCGAUUGCGAAGGCAGCUCACUGGACUGCAACUGACACUGAUGCUCGAAAGUGUGGGUAUCAAACAGGAUUAGAUACCCCAGUAGUC